ACCAUUUAUUGUUUUAUUUCCUGGAGAAAAUACAUCAUUUUAUCCCAGCCUUAAUAACCCAUCCCAAUGUAUACUCCUUCAUCUUCAUGGAUGAUGACCCUGCUACAUGCUCUGAACAAAUCAGGAGGCCCCUCGUGGGAGGAUAACCUGUCCUUUCUUUCUCUGUCCCUCUUCUGUGCAGAGCCUGUGCAUUGAGAACAGCUGCAUCGCGGCCCACGACAAGAGGGGGAGGUACGGGACCCUGUUCACGAUGGACCGGGUGCUGACCCCCCCAAUGGGGACUGUCAUGGAUGUCCUGAAGGGAGACAAUCGCUUUAGCAUGCUGGUAGCUGCCAUCCAGUCUGCAGGACUGACGGAGACCCUCAACCGGGAAGGAGUCUACACAGUCUUCGCUCCCACAAAUGAAGCCUUCCGAGCCCUGCCACCAAGAGAACGGAGCAGACUCUUGGGAGAUGCCAAGGAACUUGCCAACAUCCUGAAAUACCACAUUGGUGAUGAAAUCCUGGUUAGUGGAGGCAUUGGGGCCCUGGUGCGGCUAAAGUCUCUCCAAGGUGACAAGCUGGAAGUCAGCUUG
rnacentral:sRNA from 1 species